UACGUAGGGUGCGAGCGUUGUCCGGAAUUAUUGGGCGUAAAGGGCUCGUAGGCGGUUUGUCGCGUCGGGAGUGAAAACUCAGGGCUUAACCCUGAGCCUGCUUCCGAUACGGGCAGACUAGAGGUAUGCAGGGGAGAACGGAAUUCCUGGUGUAGCGGUGAAAUGCGCAGAUAUCAGGAGGAACACCUGUGGCGAAGGCGGCCGACUGGGCCGACCCUGACGCUGAGGCGCGAAGGCGUGGGGAGCGAACGGG
rnacentral:rRNA from 1 species